CCUACGGGAGGCAGCAGUGGGGAAUAUUGCACAAUGGGCGAAAGCCUGAUGCAGCAACGCCGCGUGAGCGAUGAAGGCCUUCGGGUUGUUAAGCUCUGUCCUCAAGGAAGAUAAUGACGGUACGUGAGGAGGAAGCUCUGGCUAACUACGUGCCAGCAGCCGCGGUAAUACGUCGGGGGCUAGCGUUAUCCGGAAUUACUGGGCGUAAAGGGUGCGUAGUUGGUUUGUUAAGUCAGAGGGGAAAGGCUACGGCUCAACCGUAGUAAGCCUUUGAAACUGGGGAACUUGAGUGCAGGAGAGGUGAGUGGAAUUCGUAGUGUAGCGGUGAAAUGCGUAGAUAUUAGGAAGAACACCAGUUGCGAAGGCGGCUCUCUGGACUGUAACUGACACUGAGGCACGAAAGCGUGGGGAGCAAACAGGAUUAGAUACCCGAGUAGUC
rnacentral:rRNA from 1 species